AAGGCUGAGCCCGGGGGUGCAGAAAAAUACAAGUUAGUUUCCUUUUCCUUACCAUAUGCUCCCCUUCAGCUGUGGGCGGCACGAUAAUUACUGCCAUCCACCAUGCUGGUCUGGCUUGUCACACAGGCUGCUGAGCCCAGCGCCGCCUCCCCGGCCCCACGUGUGCCAGACGCUGCCAUUUGGCUUCCCCGGCCACAGCUUUGGUUCUUCCCGGCACCGGGGACAUCAGCAGGCUGCUGCCGGGGCUGUCCCGUGCUGGAUCCCAUGCCUGGCUGCCAGGAGAGCUCUGGGGACAGCCACUGCUUGGGCAGAUUGGAAAACAAGCUCUGCGGGACACCCCAAAGAUGGACCAUCACAUUCAGCCCUGACCAGUAACAGAAAUACCCAGACUGCACCUUGAAAUAAAGGAGACAAACAAGGACCAAAGAACACCAAGGAUCAGAACCAGCAGAGAACAGAGAACUCUUUUGCCAUUAAAUCCAUCUAUUCAUUAUAAUUAA